UACGUAGGGGGCAAUCGUUGUCCGGAAUUAUUGGGCGUAAAGCGCGCGCAGGCGGUCUCUUAAGUCUGAUGUGAAAGCCCACGGCUCAACCGUGGAGAGCCACCAGAAACUGGGAGACUGGAGUGUAGGAGAGGAAAGUGGAAUUCCAUGUGUAGCGGUGAAAUGCGUAGAGAUAUGGAGGAACACCAGUGGCGAAGGCGACUUUCUGGCCUAUAACUGACGCUGAGGCGCGAAAGCGUGGGGAGCAAACAGG
rnacentral:rRNA from 1 species